GCCUGCCCGAGCUGAGCCGCGCGUCCCGAGCCCAGCCUCUCCGGGGAGGAGGGACCCGGCGGCGCGGCGUGGGUAGGGAGCGGGCGCCUGGGACUACUUCUCGUUUGAAAGUUUUCAGAGGCCAAAAGUUUGAGCCGGGGCUGCGGAAGGAUCCGGCUCUGGCCGUUGCCGCGCUCGGCGACAAUUGGCGACGGAAAUUUGCAUGUGAAUAAGCGGAGGAGCCCGGGGUGGAGUAGGGAGGGCGAGGCCGCGGGCAGCUGUGUCCACCGUGCUCUGGGCCGGGCGGGGAGCAGCUGAGGCCACGUUGGGGGACCCCGGGCCCGGGGCAGGGCUUUGGGAGAAGUGGCCUAGCCGUGGGUGCGCCCCUAGCCCAGCGGCUUCUCUCCCUCCCCAGGGCCCCGUGGCCGCGGCUUUAGGCGUCCAGAGGAUCGAUCGCCGCCAGACACCCCUGGCCGUGAUUGCCUGAGCACUUGACCGCGAGGGAUGGGGGCGCAGCGGCCUCAGGGCAGGGAGUUUAGGGCGCCCCAAGGGAGCAGCCAGGACCAGUGCCUCGCGGACGUAUUGCGCCCCGCUGCCCCAGGGGGGACCCGCGUCGACAUGCUCCUCGGUCACCGUCCUCCUCCUGCCCGGGCGCCGCCUGCCUAAGGUGGCCCCGGAAAGCACAAACGGGUCGGGCGGAUCUGCCGCUGGCGCCGGCGCAGCCCCUCCCACGUGCCCCUUCCGGCUGAUUUAUUUCUCCACCACGAUGCCAGGCACGGGCACCCUGUGCCAAGCCUGGUUAAGCGCCAGGAGUCCAAAAUGCCUGCCAUAGUCCCUGCGCAAAGUUCACGGCCUCGUGCUGGGGACAAACAGCGCCCCCUCCCCACUCCAACACAGGGUGGUGAGUGCGAUGGCAGAAGGCGCUGGGGGCCCUCCUGGAGUAGGAGGGCUAUGCCUGCCCUGCAGGGAGACUGAAAGACUGAGAGGGACCUAGGACUCUGGGAGCGUGGGGGAGUGGCUGCAGAAACCCCAGAGCAUGGUGGCAGAGGGAGGCACAGAAAGGGGGACAAAUCUCACACCUGACUCCAGCGAGCCUUUCCUGGCACACCUCUUGCCAAGUGCUGAGCACUCUGGAAACAGCCAGUGCAGACGGCCUAUCCCCCCCUCGUAGCUGCUGCUGGGAGCCUCCCUCGCCUGCGUCCUCCCAGAAGCUGGCCUCACUUCUCCAGGCCUGGGGUAACAUCUCGGGGUCAGCGCCCGAGGAGAGGAGGCGCCUGGAGGCAGCAGAGAUGUUUAUGUAACAGCAGCCCGGCAGCCUGGAGGAGCAGAUUUUCCAUAGAAGGAAGCGCGGGGCUGUGCGGCUCCCAGGCUGAGGACACUGCCCACCACGACGUCCUCUGCUCCCGCAGAGAAGACAGUGGCCCAUUCGAUGUCCACCCGUCAGGCCGCCCAACAGCCAGGCACAUUCAUAAGCCCAUGUUACAGAUGGUGCAGCCGGGUGCACAGACCUGAGGGAAGCACAGGCCUCAGCCUCCCAGCUCCCAACGCCUGCACCACCCACAGCCGGGAGUACCCCAUGGACAGCUGGGGCUGAGGAGAAGCAAGGGAUGAGGGGGAUGGGCCUCCCCUCCCCACCAGCCUGGGAAGGGGGUGGGCCCCUGGCAAGUAGGUGAGAAGCUUCAUUCACAAGUUGUCGGGGCUCCCCAUUCCUCUUUUUCAGGCCAGUGGGUGUGGGCAGUGGGGGAAGGCAGGGGUCCUACCCAGCAGGAGUGUAUCUGCUGCCCUGGGGCCUGGAGACCUUCUCCUGCAGGUCAGGGGGGCAGCACCGGACAGCGGGCAUUGCAUGGGCUAAAGAGAAACAAAAGAAGGCAGGUUGUGUGCAGGGCACCCCAGCCACUCCAGAAACCCAAUCAGAAGGUGGGGGCUAGGACCCCAAGAAGCCGAAUUGGGGUGCAGUGCUGCCAGGCCUCCCCCGUGGGAGUCACUUUGGGCUUCCUGUCCCAGCUUGUGGUGGGAGCUGGGACAAGGUUCCCGGGGUACCCCUGAGGGCAGGGGUACCCUGAAUGAAGGGGCUGUUCCCAAGCUGGCCAAGGAGCCUGGAAGCAGAGGAGAUGGGGCCGCAGAGCCGGGUUUGCAGAGGGGAGAGGCAGACGUGUCCCGCAGCCCCCUCUUCUUCAGAGGCCACGUGCAGGUGCGGAGGGGAGAGCGGCCUAGGCGUUGCACCCCAGGAGACUGAACUGGGGGCUUUCGAGAGCAGAGCAGACCCCAAGUGUGUGGAGAGGCGAAAGCACAGCUGGUCAGCACACGGGGACAGCGACGGAGCUCCUGCCGCCUGUUUGGCCCCAGGUGCUGUGCAGCACGGAGACCCAGGAAUCCAUCUUGCCUCUUGCUGCCCCCAUGACCCUGUGGCGCUGGGGGGCAGGGAGCGCGAUGCUCCCCAUUUUUCAGGAGGGAAGCUGAGGCUCAGAGACAUCAUGAGGAUGCCAGCUCAAGGCCCAGCCAGGCCUUGGUCCUCAGCUGCUGUCAUCCAGUAGGAAGGAUGAUGUUGGUGUCCCAAAGCAGAAUCGUUUGUCCCGACGGAGCCACCAGCAGAGCCAGGAGCCCCCGAAGGACUUUGACCACACCCCCCACCCCACCCAGCCUGUGCCUGGUCCCCUGAGUGGAGCCUGGGCCAUCCUUGACCUCACUGCUGGGGUGAUGGAGAAGCUCCUGCCUGAGGCGAGAGUUUCUCAGGCGGCCGGAGUUUCCUCCCAUCUGCUCCAGACACAUUUAAACAAGCUGAGAACUUCCGUCCCCCCACACUUCCCCCCACAGACCCCCACGGACCCCUCUGCAAAUGAACAUGGGCCUGGAAAUCGGGGUUUGGGUUACAGAGAGCACGGGGAGUUCUAUUCGUGAAGUAACACGGAGCACGAACGUUAGCAGGUACCGCACAUCUGUGAGCUAUUUUCGGGUCUCCAGGGGGAAGGGAAAAAGCCCUAAGCCUUAAGUAAGACCAGGACUCUUCUAUAUUUUUACUUUGACAGCUAAGGAAAAAAAUUGCCAAAAACCAGAGGCGCUGCUGAGUGUUGGCGUGGGAAUGUUAGUUUAGUCAGAGCCUUGCCCUGGGCCAUUUAAAUAAAAACAGGCAUGUUGGUGGCAAAUGCCAGUUGAACACGCAGGAGAGCGGUGCUUCUGGGACCCGGAGAAGGGUGUGCAGCUGCACUCUCUCUUCCCUUUUUUCUUGGCCUCCCCAGCCUUCUUAUCAUCACGAUCAGCAUUUCACUGGUAAACAUUUGGUGCAAUAAUUUUCAAAAAUCAGCAAGAAAAGUCUGAGCGUUUAAUGUGGCUGGGACUGCGUGGCCCCAGCUGGAAGUGCGGAUUCCCAGCGCCUCCCGGAGCCUGUCUCCGAGGGAUACGCCAGUCACUUGAGGACCUUUGCACAACAUAAAUCAGACCGGCUAUCUCUAGGAUGGAGAGGGGGAUAAACUCACUUGUAGCAAGUGAAGGCCAGAGGCUGCCGUGGGAUGGCAUUGCCUGUUCCCAGGGGCUUGCAGUGGUGGAGCAGACAGGGGGACCCCAGGGCCCCCUCCCCUCCUUGCUGGGGAUGCUGCACAGACCCACCUUCAGGGACUCAAAUUCAGAGCCUGCCCCAGGGGUGGCGAACGUAUCUGGGACACUGAGCACCCACCUACUGGGUGCAUCUCG